CUAGGGGAUAAUUUCCGCAAUAGAGCGAAGUCCGACCGGAACUCCGCCGCUAGUGUAUCGAGGUUCGAUCGCUAAACUCUCUGUUGUUCCGGAGAACCACGUGACCAGAGGUUACUGCUGUACCCUGACCGGUAACUACCAGAAAAGGCACGGCUAACAUCGUGCAGCAGCCCGCGGUAUACGUAGGUGGCAAGCGUUUUCCGGAAUUAUUUGGCGUAAAGCGCGGCGCCAGGGCGGGUCCCUAAUCCGAAGUGGAAAGGCCCCCCGGUCCAACCGUGGGAGGGGUCAUUUGGAAACUUGGGGAACCUGAGUGUCAGAAGAGAGAAAAGCGGGAAUUCCCCCUGUGAGCGGUUGAAAUGCGUAGAGAAUGUGUGGGGGAACACCCAGUGGGGAAAGGGCGGCUUUUUUGGUUUUGUGUACUGACGGUGAGGGCGCGGGAAGCGUGGGGAAGAAAAACGGGAUAGAAUCCCUUGUUGAUCCAAGGCGUUAACGAUGGGAUGCCAAGUGUUAGGGGGUUUUCGCCCUUUAGUGCUGCCACCAACCCCAUAAACACUUCCCCUGGGGAGUUCGGUCGCCAGGCUGAAACUCAAAGGGAUUGGCGGGGGGCCGCCCCAGCGGUGGGGCCUGGUGUUUUAUUUGAAGCAACGCGGAGAACCUUUCCAGGUCUUGACAUUCUCUGACAACUCUAGAGAUAGAGCGUUUCCCCUCGGGGGGCAGGGUGACCGGUGGGGCAUGGUUGUUGUCCGCUCGUGUCCUGAGAUGUUGGGUUUAAUUCCGCCACGAGCGCCAACCCUGAUUUUAGUUGCCCGCAUUUAGUUGGGCCCUUUUAGGUGGCUGCCGGUGACCAACCGGAGGAAGGUGGGGAUGACGUCAAAUCAUCAUGCCCCUUAUGACCUGGGCUACACCCCUGCUACAAUGGAUGGUACAAAAGGCUGCAAGGCCCCGAGGUCAAACCAAUUCCAUAAAACCCUUUUCAGUUUGGAUUGUCGGCUGCCACUUGCCUUCCUGAAGCCGGAAUCGCUUGUAAUCGCGGAUCAACCAUGCCCCGUGAAUUCGUUUCCCGGCCUUGUACCCCCCCCCCCUCACCCCCCGAGAGUUUGUUACCCCCGAAGUCGGUGGGGGUACCUUUAUGGAGCCAGCCGCCUAAGUGACAGAUUUCG
rnacentral:rRNA from 1 species